CGGAGAGCGAGCGAAAGCUGCUAGCCCAUGCAAGGGACUCCAUGAAGCCUAUGAAAAUAUGUCAUAUAUUUCAUGAGAAACACUAGCUAGUGUAAUCACAACUAUACUCCAGAGAAAUAACCAUUAUGAAGAUUGAAGUUGAUAGAUUAGGCAGGGAAGACUUCGAAUUGCCCAAAAGGUUCCUGCUUGAUUUGUGAAACAGCCCAGGAAUAAGGGGCAUUCUCCUGGAUCAUUGUGCUUCGUGAGAGGAUGAGGGCUCAGGAAACCAUUGCACUGCUGUAUCCACUCACAUCAAUGUGAUUGAUUUUCUAGUGACACAGAAGAAUAUGUACUUUACAACUCCAUCCCUCACCUUGGAACUCAAAAUUUA
rnacentral:lncRNA from 1 species